GCCGAAUAGAUAGCACAUUGAUAAUAGGUGAAUUAUUUUCAACUUAGCUUAUAUUUAUACUAUCUUUGGGAUAGCGUUUGAUAUACACAUAGCUUUUGGGGUGUAUAUCAGGUGAUUGCCCUUUGGGAUAGCUCUACAUAUGUGUAUGACUAGUAUUUUUAUUACUCUCAGGUUAUUUUUGUGUCAUUAUAGAGCCCAAAAUGCCAGCAUUGCUCUCUAGCUGCCAGAGUUUAUUAUAGCACAUGAGAUGUCAGCAUUAUCUACAUGCAGUAUAUUACAUGUGUAUAGGGAUAUUACGGAUUUAAUGAUAUCUCAGCAACUUUAUUUCAGCAAUAGUUUUACAGCAUAAAUAUUUAUUUUAGCUCAAUUAUGUGAUUUUGAUUAAUUAAUAUUUAUUCAGCUGACUUAUU
rnacentral:misc_RNA from 1 species